GCUCCAUUGGCGCAGUCGGUUAGCGCGUGGUACUUAUAAGUGAUGAGAUAUGCCAAGGUCAUGGGUUCGAGCCCCAUAUGGAGCA
rfam:Steinernema glaseri strain NC unplaced genomic scaffold GLAS_5077, whole genome shotgun sequence.